AUAAUCGUGGUGAAAAAGGUAAACACAAUUAGUUUAGGUCUAAUCCUUUAAGGGUUCAAGUCCCUUCGAUUAUA
rnacentral:tRNA from 1 species